AUUGAACGCUGGCGGCAGGCCUAACACAUGCAAGUCGAGCGAGCGGCGGACGGGUGAGUAAUGUAUGGGGACUGCCCGAUAGAGGGGGAUAACUACUGGAAACGGUGGCUAAUACCGCAUACUAUCGGAUAACCCAUAUGGGAUUAGCUAGUUGGGGGGGUAAAGGCUCACCUAGGCGACGAUCUCUAGCUGGUCUGAGAGGAUGAUAAGGGACACGGGGACUAAGACACGGCCCAGACGCCUACGGAGGCAGCAGUGGGGAAUAGGGCAGAAGUGGCGCAAGCCUGAUGCAGACAUGCCGGGGGUAUGAAGAAGGCCUUAGAGUUGUAAAGUACGUACAGCGGGGAGGCGUUACCCGCAGAAGAAGCACCGGCUAACUCCGUGCCAGCAGCCGCGGUAAUAC
rnacentral:rRNA from 1 species